CCUACGGGGGGCAGCAGUGAGGAAUAUUGGUCAAUGGACGAGAGUCUGAACCAGCCAAGUAGCGUGAAGGAUGACUGCCCUAUGGGUUGUAAACUUCUUUUAUAUGGGAAUAAAACGUUCCACGUGUGGGAUUUUGUAUGUACCAUAUGAAUAAGGAUCGGCUAACUCCGUGCCAGCAGCCGCGGUAAUACGGAGGAUCCGAGCGUUAUCCGGAUUUAUUGGGUUUAAAGGGAGCGUAGGUGGAUUGUUAAGUCAGUUGUGAAAGUGUGCGGCUCAACCGUAAAAUUGCAGUUGAAACUGGCAGUCUUGAGUACAGGAGAGGUGAGCGGAAUUCGUGGUGUAGCGGUGAAAUGCUUAGAUAUCACGAAGAACUCCGAUUGCGAAGGCAGUUCACUGGACUGCAACUGACACUGAGGCUCGAAAGUGUGGGUAUCAAACAGGAUUAGAUACCCUAGUAGUC
rnacentral:rRNA from 1 species